UGUGGUACCGUAACUCUUAAGGACUGAAAUGUGAAUACGUGCUGCCAGUAGGAAGAAUGGGGGAUGGGAGAAGAAGAAUUAGAAGAUCGACGUUUAGAAAAGUGAUGCGUACGGUGUCGUGGCGAAGAGAUUAUAAAUCCAAAUAAACUUACAAAUAACAGAAUAUUAACAGUACAAUAGUUAGUGAACCCGAAA